AAAUUGUGGUCUGGACAAUUUCUCAACAUUUCCUUGAAACGCACCCAAGCAUCCACCACAUCUUCCCCAUCAUCUUGUUCAAAAGACCUUAUCAUAUUUUCCAACCU